rnacentral:snoRNA from 3 species
GUGCUGUGAUGUUAACUGUCAACACAUCAUUCUGAAGAAGAAUUGUGUGGAGACUUUCUGUAACUGAGCACC